GACAGAGGGUGCAAACGUUGCUCGGAAUUACUGGGCGUAAAGCGCGUGUAGGCGGACUGGUAAGUCGGACGUGAAAUCCCUGAGCUCAACUCAGGAACUGCAUCCGAAACUAUUAGUCUGGAGUGGUGGAGAGGGAAGCAGAAUUCCUGGUGUAGAGGUGAAAUUCGUAGAUAUCAGGAGGAACACCGGUGGCGAAGGCGGCUUCCUGGACACCUAACUGACGCUGAGACGGCGAAAAGCGUGGGGGAGCAAACAGGGAUUAAGAUACCCUG
rnacentral:rRNA from 1 species